AUCCCAGACUCCUACGGGAGGCAGCAGUCGGGAAUAUUGCACAAUGGAGGAAACUCUGAUGCAGUGACGCCGCGUGCAGGAAGAAGGUUUUCGGAUUGUAAACUGCUUUAGACAGGGAAGAAACAAGACAGUACCUGUAGAAUAAGCUCCGGCUAACUACGUGCCAGCAGCCGCGGUAAUACGUAGGGAGCAAGCGUUAUCCGGAUUUAUUGGGUGUAAAGGGUGCGUAGACGGGAAUUUAAGUUAGUUGUGAAAUCCCUCGGCUUAACUGAGGAACUGCAACUAAAACUGAAUUUCUUGAGUGCGGGAGAGGAAAGUGGAAUUCCUAGUGUAGCGGUGAAAUGCGUAGAUAUUAGGAGGAACACCAGUGGCGAAGGCGACUUUCUGGACCGUAACUGACGUUGAGGCACGAAAGUGUGGGGAGCAAACAGGAUUAGAUACCCUGGUA
rnacentral:rRNA from 1 species